rnacentral:rRNA from 1 species
UGGGGAAUAUUGCACAAUGGAGGGAACUCUGAUGCAGCGACGCCGCGUGAACGAAGAAGGCUUUCGAGUCGUAAAGUUCUUUUAUAUGGGAAGAUAAUGACAGUACCAUAGAAGAAAGCUCCGGCUAAAUACGUGCCAGCAGCCGCGGUAAUACGUAUGGAGCGAGCGUUGUCCGGAAUUAUUGGGCGUAAAGGGUACGCAGGCGGUUUAAUAAGUCGAAUGUUAAAGAUCGGGGCUCAACCCCGUAAAGCAUUGGAAACUGAUAAACUUGAGUAGUGGAGAGGAAAGUGGAAUUCCUAGUGUAGUGGUGAAAUACGUAGAUAUUAGGAGGAAUACCAGUAGCGAAGGCGACUUUCUGGACACAAACUGACGCUGAGGUACGAAAGCGUGGGGAGCAAACAGG